rnacentral:lncRNA from 1 species
AAAAGAUAAGCUACUCAAGGCCUUUCUGUUUUAUUUUUCCAUAAUAAUAUUUUACAAAUAGUCUGCCAUGCAUGGCACUGAUAUGAUAGUGAAGGCCUUAAUUUGAAGACACACUUUCUUUUAUAUCUACUGGCUAUCAAAUUUAGUAUAGCUAUAGUAGUAGUACAAGCAGACAAUACAGUAUUACUUAGUUUUGAUAGCCUUAAUUACCACCACAGUUAUGGUUCUAACUCAAAUGAUGCCUUCACUGUGAAGGGAUCAAUUUCAACUGAUGCAAUGUACCCAAACUUUGAAACUUUAAAUUUUUGUUUUCCUCUUUUAUCAAGAUUGGUUUUGAUUUGCCCCCAGUGAAUAGGUUGUUGCUGGAUAUCAGUAAACACCU